rnacentral:rRNA from 1 species
CACAAGGGGUGAAGCCUGCGGUUCAAUUGGAGUCAACGCCGGAAAUCUUACCGGGGGCGACAGCAGAGUGAAGGUCAAGCUGAAGACUUUACCAGACAAGCUGAGAGGAGGUGCAUGGCCGUCGCCAGCUCGUGCCGUGAGGUGUCCUGUUAAGUCAGGUAACGAGCGAGAUCCCUAUCUCUAGUUGCUACUGCUGCUCUCAGGAGUAGUAGAGCUAAUUAGAGGGACCGCCGCCGCUGAGGCGGAGGAAGGAGGGGGCUNCGNCAGGUCAGUAUGCCCCGAAACCCUCGGGCCACACGCGGGCUGCAAUGGUAAGGACAAUGGGUUCCUAUUCCGAAAGGAGGAGGCAAUCCCCAAACCUUACCCCAGUUAUGAUUGAGGGCUGAAACUCGCCCUCAUGAAUAUGGAAUCCCUAGUAACCGCGUGUCAUCAUCGCGCGGUGAAUACGUCCCUGCUCC